rnacentral:misc_RNA from 1 species
AGUACAGCUCCGGCCGCCGCGCCGCCUGGCUUUCGUAUUCGUUGUUCUCGGCGGGCUGUGGGGCCUCCGCGCCGCGGCCGUUAGUCAUGUCGGAUUCUGGAAGUUACGGUCAGUCUGGGGGUGAGCAGCAAAGUUAUUCUACCUAUGGAAAUCCAGGCAGCCAAGGCUAUGGACAAGCAUCACAAGUUAUUCACAGUCCUAUGGUGGUUAUGAGAAUCAAAAGCAGAGCUCAUAUAGCCAGCAACCAUAUAAUAACCAGGGACAGCAGCAAAACAUGGAAUCAUCAGGAAGCCAAGGUGGAAGAGCACCUUCCUAUGACCAGCCAGACUAUGGUCAACAAGAUUCAUAUGACCAGCAGUCAGGCUAUGAUCAACAUCAAGGCUCAUAUGAUGAGCAGUCAAAUUAUGAU